UCUAAGUUGCUGCGGAGGAAGAAGUGAGGAUAUAGCAACAGCCUGGCGGUGGAGAGGAGUUGGUGAUGAUGACAGCUUGAUGCUAGGGAGUCGGGAAGGAGUCACCGGCGGCGGAAGUGACAGUAUCCCUGUCCCUCGGAGGACUGUGGCUCCCAGGCUAGGCCAGGCUUUAUCAUCACAGAGGAGACGGGAAUCCUCUGGGAGACGGCGACUAUGGAUCCAGCGUUGAGGGGAUAAGGAGAGGAAAAGCUGCUGGAGGCGAAGCUUCCUGCCUUUGCGUCCGGCCAUACAGAGCUGCGCACAGUUCCCCAGCCUGUACCCGGCCUCCCUGCUCCCAGGCGUUGCACAGCUGAGCCCCUGCUCUGAUCACUCCCUAAUGCCUACCCAUCCUUCAAGUCUUCGAUGCUGCCUCCUCCGGGGAGUCCUCGUACCCCUCAGCAUUUGCUGUUUUCCUCUUGAAGGACAGCAUCGGGGUACAGGGCCACUGUCCACCUGGUGUAAUCCUUAGGUCCCGUCUAUUUUCCCCACUCGUCCCUGCCCUCCUUGAGGAUGAAGGCUCUGGCUUCAUCCUGAACCCCAGUGCCCAGGACAGUGUGUGGCAUACUGUCAGGGAUGUUGGCUGCUGAAAGCAACAUUAGUCACUGCACACGCUGCGAUCUGAAAUCCCUGUAUACACGCUCCCACAGGGACACCACAGGACCCUCAGAUUAACUACACAUGUAUUUAAUCUUCUCGGGAUUCAGUCUCAGUCAUUCCCAGGGCCUCCAACAGCCUCCAGCAAAGAUAAAUGUCCAACCAAUGUUGAAUGAAUGAAAGAAGAACCAACAUAAGAUAAAUGUCCGAGAGCACCCCUGGAGAAGGCUCACUGUGGCGGUGGCAGAUGUGGAGAGUUAGACGGCAGACAGGAGAUAGAGCCAUGGGAGCAAAUUGAGAGCAGGAAGAGAAACUUACUGAACACCUCCUAUGUAUUGGUACUGCCCCAGGUAUCUUGGGUUCAUUAUUCCACUUUCUCCUCAUCUUUAUCCUGUGAGGAAGACGUAAUUAUCCCAUUUCAUAUUCAAGGAAGCUGAGGUUAAGAGUGGUUAAGUAACUGUCCCAAGAUCACCCAGGUGACAUGGGUUAAACUGGAAUUCAAACCCGGGUCUUUCUGACCCUAGAGCCUGUCUCCCACUCUACCAUGUUUCAUGAAGAAUGGGAGUUUUGAGCAGAAUUUUGAAAAACAAAAGACUCAUCUUUGGGAAGAAGGAUCUCAAGCCCAGGCAGGUAGGGAGAACUGAGGGUUUCUGAGAAGGUUGGAUGCUGGCUCUGUGGUUCCAUGAAUUUCCAUAAGCUUCUUUGUGAUCAAGAAGCCAGGGGAAAAUGAACAGAACAACGUCCCAUGCAAGG
rnacentral:lncRNA from 1 species